rnacentral:rRNA from 1 species
CUACACGACCGUACCGCAAACCGACACUGGUGCGCGAGAUGAGUAUUCUAAGGCGCUUGAGAGAACUCAGGAGAAGGAACUCGGCAAAUUGACACCGUAACUUCGGAAGAAGGUGUGCCUUUAGUAGGUGAAGUCCCUCGCGGAUGGAGCCCAAUGAGGUUGCAAAAAAUCGGUGGCUGCGACUGUUUAUUAAAAACACAGCACUCUGCAAACACGAAAGUGGACGUAUAGGGUGUGACGCCUGCCCGGUGCUGGAAGAUUAAAUGAUGGGGUGCAAGCUCUUGAUUGAAGUCCCAGUAAACGGCGGCCGUAACUAUAACGGUCCUAAGGUAGCGAAAUUCCUUGUCGGGUAAGUUCCGACCUGCACGAAUGGCGUAACGAUGGCCACACUGUCUCCUCCUGAGACUCAGCGAAGUUGAAAUGUUUGUGAUGAUGCAAUCUCCCCGCGGAAAGACGGAAAGACCCCAUGAACCUUUACUGUAGCUUUGUAUUGGACUUUGAACAGAUCUGUGUAGGAUAGGUGGGAGGCUUUGAAGCAGGGUCGCUAGAUCUUGUGGAGCCAACGUUGAAAUACCACCCUGGUGUGUUUGAGGUUCUAACCUAGGCCCGUAAUCCGGGUUGGGGACAGUGCAUGGUAGGCAGUUUGACUGGGGCGGUCUCCUCCCAAAGUGUAACGGAGGAGUUCGAAGGUACGCUAGUUACGGUCGGACAUCGUGACGAUAGUGCAAUGGCAUAAGCGUGCUUAACUGCGAGACUGACAAGUCGAGCAGAUGCGAAAGCAGGACAUAGUGAUCCGGUGGUUCUGUAUGGAAGGGCCAUCGCUCAACGGAUAAAAGGUACUCUGGGGAUAACAGGCUGAUACCGCCCAAGAGUUCAUAUCGACGGCGGUGUUUGGCACCUCGAUGUCGGCUCAUCUCAUCCUGGGGCUGUAGCCGGUCCCAAGGGUAUGGCUGUUCGCCAUUUAAAGAGGUACGUGAGCUGGGUUUAAAACGUCGUGAGACAGUUUGGUCCCUAUCUUCCGUGGGCGCUGCAGAUUUGAGGAAGCCUGCUCCUAGUACGAGAGGACCGGAGUGGACGCACCUCUGGUGUAUCGGUUGUCACGCCAGUGGCAUUGCCGAGUAGCUAUGUGCGGAAGAGAUAACCGCUGAAAGCAUCUAAGCGGGAAACUCGUUUCAAGAUGAGAUCUGCCGGGGCCUUGAGCCCCCUGAAGAGUCGUUCAAGACCAGGACGUUGAUAGGUCGGGUGUGGAAGCGCAGUAAUGCGUUAAGCUAACCGAUACUAAUUGCUCGUGCGGCUUGACCUA